rnacentral:lncRNA from 1 species
CCCUUCGGGGUUUAUUUACCCCAACAGAACAAAUGAUAGAUCUAGGAGAAUCAUCGAUCAGGAGACAAGGUCAUUCCAAGAUCGAUACUAGACAUACGGUGCAGAUCGGAGGGAAAAGGGAUCCGGGUACCACCCGACAUGGAACGCCAAGAGAACGAUCAAUGACCGAGCAGUCGGGGCAUGAUGAGCAUAAGUGGUUUUGAUAGUUCACUUGGUUGUAGGGAAGCACCGAGAUUAUCAGAGUAUAAUUUCAACAUAGACGCUGCAAGUAUAGUGUCGGCCAUAGCAUACAUCAAAGAGACCAAGUGGCCUAAACCACUGCAGUUCGAUCUCGCCCAAAGGGAUCAUAGCUUGGUGUGUAAAUACCACUCACAGUCAUAUGACCGAAGAUUGUUGACACUUAAGAGAAGAAGUAGAUUGAUUGUUCAACAAUGGCCACCUUCAGGAAUUUAUAAGCGAACGGGCCAAAAAACACUUCAAAAAUAGGGACGCCAACAAACAGUCGAACAGGAGAAGCCCCAGCACAUGAUUAACAUGAUUAUUGGGGUAGUAGAUUUCUCCCAAGGCUAAUGAUAAAAUGCACCAAAGUUUCUAUCGCGAGGUAAAAACGCACGCGGGAUUACAUUCUGGAAGGGCCAUCUAGUUCAGCAACGAAGACGGAAGGGCAUCAUCCAGCCUACAAUGAUGCACUGGUAAUAUCCCUACUUAUCAACAAAUCUUGGGUUAAAUAUGUGUUGAUUAAUCCAGGUAGCUCAGCCAACAUCAUCUAAUCGAGGGUCAUAGAACAACUGGGAUUACUAAACCAAAUCAUACCAGCGAUUCGAGUAUUGAACAGAUUCAACAUGGCAUGCGAGACCACGAAGGGUGAGAUAAAUUUAAUGGUAAACACUGCUGGGACCACCCAAGAAACAAAGUUCUACGUGAUCAAGAGGGAUAUGAGAUACAACACCUUGUUCGGAAGGCCAUGUGCUCACAGCAUGAGAGCGGGCAAUCAAGAAAAGGCUUCUUUCAUAAUCAAAUUUGGCACCUACUAUUAUAACGUAAUGCCAUUUGGACUAAAGAAUGUUGAUGCCACGUAUUAACGCCUAGUUAAAUGGAUGUUCGAGGAACAAAUAGGGAAAUCAAUGAAAGUUUCUAUUGAUGAUACAUUAGUUAAGUCCCUACGAGCAGAGGACCAUUUGAAACAUUUGCAGGAAACCUUUUACAUAUUGAGGAAGUACAACAUUAGCUAAACCCAGAGAAGUGUGCCUUCAGGGUCAGCUCGGGCAAGUUCCCCGGGUUCAUGGUAUCUAACCGGAAAAUAAAGAUCAACUCAGACAAAAUAAAAGCUAUAGAAAACAUCACCAUAGCUGACAACACUAAGAUAGUACAAAGACUGACUGGGCAAAUAGUCGUGUUGGGCUGGUUUAUUUCGAGAUCGUCGGAUUAGAGCCAUCAGUUUUUCUAAUCAUUGAAAAAGAAGAACGACUUCUCUUAAACUCCGGAAUGCCAUCAAGCUUUAGAAGAGCUCAAGCGAUACCUAUCGAGCCCUCCAUUGUUGCACACUCCGAAGGAGGACGAACAUCUAUACCUCUACUUGGCGGUUUUUCAAUGUGACGUAAGUGGUGUCCUAGUCCAGAAAGAAGAAGGUACAUAAUUUCCUAUUUAUUAUGUUACUCUAACCCUAGGCGAUGCCGAAACAAGAUAUCCAUACUUAGAAAAAUUAGCGCUCGCCUUAUUAAGCGCUUCUAAGAAAUUAAAACCGUACUUACAAUGCCACCCCAUAUGUGUCGUGACCUCGUACCCCCUGAGGAAUGUCAUGCAUAAGCACGAGCUCUCGCGCCUGUUGGCCAAAUGGGUAGUAGAUAUUAGCAGGUAUGACAUUGAGUACAAACCUCAGACUACCAUAAAAUCUUAGAUUUUGGCGGAUUUUGUGACCGACUUUACCCCGGCCUUAGUCCCUGAGGUCGAAAAGGAACUACUGCUCACUUCGGGAAUUAGCUCGGGGAUCUGGACCCUAUUCAUGGACUUCCAAUGCGAAGGGGUCUGGGCUCGACAUCGUAUUAGAACCACCUACAGGUAACGUAAUUAUCCAGUCUAUUAGAACUGUAAAAUUGACUAACAACGAAGCUGAGUAUGAGGCUAUGAUUGCAGGUCUAGAACUGGCUAAGAGCCUGGGAGCCGAAGUGAUCGAGGCCAAAUGUGAUUCCAUCCUUUUCUUAAACCAAGUCAAUGGGACAUUUGAAGUAAAAGAGGAACAGAUGCAGAGGUAUUUGGAUAAGUUGUAGGCUUCCUUACACCAAUUAAAGGAAUAGACUCUACAACACAUACCUUGGAAUCAAAAUAACGAGGCCGAUGCAUCGGCCAACUUGGGGUCAUCGGUCGACUCCGAUGAGCGCGACUCCGAAGAAGUAGUAUAGUUGAUGAACUCGGUGAUAGAAGAAGGUCACGCCGAGGUAAACUUGACAAGCUUGACUUGAGACUGGAGAAACAAAUACAUAGAUUACCCGAAGAAAAGAAAAUUGCCAUCGGACCCCAAGGAGUUAAGAGCCCUACGCACCAAACCUGUCAGGUUUAGCUUGGUUGAGUGGAAAUUGUUCAAAAGAUCCUUUAUUGGGCUGCUAGCUAGGUGCUUGGGUCUGGGGGUUACUGAAUCUGCUAUGAGUUAAGUACACGAGGGUACUUGUGGAAACCACUAAAGAGCAGAAUCCCUGGUUCAAAAAUUGAUUAGAGCAGGUUACUAAUGGAACGAGAUGGAGAAAGAUGCAAAAGACUCCAUUCGAAAAUGCAACGAGUGCCAAAGACACGCCCCAAUGAUUCAUCAACCAGGAGAAAUGCUUCACCUGGUAAUAUCGUCGUGGCUGUUUAUGAAAUGGGGGAUGGACAUCGUCGGUCCCCUUCCAUGCGCGCGUGGUAAAGCCCAAGACAUAUUACUUAUGACCAAUUAUUUCUCCAAGACCAAAACUUAGGCGUUCAAGAAGUUUUGGGAGAAAGAGGUCAUCGACUACAUCUGGGAUCACAUAAUAUGCCGAUUCGGGAUACCGGCCGAAAUCGUUUGUGAUAAUAGAAAGCAGUUUGUCAGCAGCAAGGUAAGUAAGUUUCUCGAAACCAUAGAAUCAAAACGAUCUUAUCAAUACCAUACCACCCUAGUGGGAAUGGACAACCAGAGUUAACGAACAAAACUAUACUCUAAAACUUGAAGAAGAUAUUAAUUGAUUCGAAGGGAAAGUGCAAAGAAAUCUUGCUUGAAAUUUUGUGGCAUAUUGAAUGACUUCGAAGUCAAGUACCAGUGUGACCCCAUUCUUUUUAGUCUGCAGUGCAGAAGCCGUAAUCCCGGUCGAGGUUGAGGAACCAAGCCAAAGGUUCCAGUAUGCUACUGAGAUGUCAAACGGCAAGGCCAUGUCCACAAGUUUGGACUUAUUGGAUGAAAGGCGAGAAGCCUCCCAGGUCCGGUUGGCUGCCCAAAGCAGUAAAUAGGGAGGUACUACAAUCAAAAAGCUAAUCUUCAAAAUUUAAAAGUUGGGGACUUGGUGUUAAGGAAAGUUAUGCUACACACCAAGUAAUCGGUCGACUGUAAAUUUGACAAUUAGGUCUGAAAGCACGUGUUGUACUCUUUUUCUCUGGGACCGAUUUUUCCCGAAGUGGGUUCUACGGCAAGGUUUUUAACAAGGCAAUAGUAAAAGGUGAUAACUUAGUUUCAAAGACCGGCCUGAGGCCAGAAUUGCUGGCCACCCGUACUAGACCAACAGUACUCGAGCCCUCACAAGUUCAGUCUCAGAUACUGGGGGUCGGGGGGGCCAUUACCCCCUAAGUAUGAUCCUUAUAAGGUGUUCUUAUUUGACAUUAAAAUCCAAGGCUCAAUUAUUAUAAUUCAUUGUAAGGGUCAAAUGAUCAAACGAGUCGAACCCGUGUAGCUCAUUCUUGCCAUGGCAGAAAGCUUAUGAGACUCCGAUUAUAUUAUAUAUAUGCAAAGUAAUGAAGGAAAUUUUCCCUUUAUAUUUUAUCAUGUCGCAUUUACACCAUCGAUAUAUUCUUUGAGUUACUUAAAACAAAUAACGGAUCCUAAAUCCUAGAGCCUAUGGGCCUCCCCGAGUCGGGGACUGUUAUUUGAUAAAAAGAUCGGAUAGCUCGGGCUAUCAAAUCCCCAAGUCACCAAGCCUAUUAGGCAGGGACCUAACAUGAAAGGCUAUGGCCAACUCAAAACGGUUCGGAGAUGUCCAAGUCCGUACUCAUAAAGUAAGGUCCUUACAUAAGACUAAAACCUAUUUAAAAGGUUUCCCUAGGUAAAACACCAUCGUGUACAAUUGUAAGAUUCAAGUAUUUGAGGUCUUAGUUUUCUAUCAAGUAUUUCGAAGCCUAAGAAACUUAGAGUUGUUAUAAAGACACAAUAAAACGACCUCAAAAUAAACAAAAAGAAAUGUGCUAAAGAAAACGAAGAAUAAGCUAAGGCAUCUUUGCCUAGUCUUCACCAGAGCCUGAUUCAGUACCAGAACCCUCGUGCUCAUAUAACUCUUUAGCCUUGGCCUCAAGUCUCUUGUCCUCUUCAAUCUCCAUCGACAGAUCGAACCCCCAGGUGUGAAUCUCCUCAAGGGUCUCCCUUUGGUAUAACCACUUUAUGUACUCGACCUUUGUUAUUAAGCAAUCCUCAGUUAUUUCCACAUUAUUUUUAUAUUGGGCCAGCAUCUCCUCGACCUCAGAGGAAUCGGUUGAAGUUGCCUCUAACUUGGACUUCAACGCGGUAUACUCCCUGCCGAGGUCGUCCCGCUCCAAAACUAUCAAACCUAUUUGUGCUCAAAGCAUAUCUUUUUGCCGAGACCACUUGUCGGCCUUAUCCUUCAUCACCCGGAGUUGGUCCUUGACUGAUGCCAGCUCCUCUUUGGUAGCCUCAUUUACCGAGGCCAGAAGGUCCAUCCUACUUCUCAACAUCUCGGCUGAAGCUUUGAGUUCGUUCAUCUUGGCACAGAGCUGGUCAAUCAGGUCUAUCUUCUCUUGGACCUGCGAGGUUGCAUUUUUAGCUACUACUCUUAAUCUCUCAUUUUUAAUCACAAAUAUUCUUGCCUUCUCGACUAGUUUGGCAUGAUCCCAUUUCAUGGACGAAGCCUCCUUUUUAUCUUUUUCCAGCUCAGCUUGGAGAAUAGGGAGAUCCUUGUGGGCCUCAUCUUAUUGCUCGCUGAGAGCCUUGUACAUGUCCUUUUGCCGGACUUGCUCCUUGAUCUCGAACUCGAGUUGCCUGACUUCUAUCCAAGACCGAUGGAAGCUUUCAUGAUGGAGCAUCAAAGCCUGAAAAACAAAUACAUGAGAUCGUGAAGAUACAAUGAAGUUAAAUGAGCUACACGAAGGACAAAAAAAAAAGGAAACUUACCUAGUUUAGUGCCUGUUUUGCCUCGUUGAAGAGGCUCAGAGUGCUAACCUCAUUCAUCUUUGCCUGAUCCUCUUAAGUCACCAAGAAGAAAAGAUAAUUUGACACACUAACCGGUUCAGAAAGCACCCGGGUAUCCCUUGGGAUCAUAUACACGAUCGCUCUUUUUCGGCCGGGAUCCACGCUCGAAACCGAAAACCGCUUCACUAGUAUCGGGCUCAAGCUUGGCCCGUCUACUUUCGCGACACAUAUUUUUUUGGGAUCUCCAUGUGACCGAACCCGGAGUAAUCAUCCAAAACGCCAAUGUCCAAUUCCCCUCAAAGAACAAGUUAAGGGUCUCUUCUACGACCCGUGCCUUCUCGUUUGGUUUCUCCUUUGCAGCGUGAGCCUUGUCGAAUAAGGACUCUAUAUGAGAUGACAAUUCUAUGAUGUCAAUGUCACUGAUGGCUUCCAUCGGAGCGGGGGUAGCUUCUCGGGAGGCCGUAGCCACUGGUUUUCCUUCUGGCUCCCGAGCCAAAGAGGUGUCGACCUCUCGGCCACUUCCCCCCGAUUGACGCCCGCUAUUCUUCAUCAAUGGCCUCCCCGCAGGUGUCAAACUCCAGGUCAUCAUCUUCAGGAUAGUCUUUGAGCCGGUAGAGAGUGUUGAUGACCAAUUUUAACCCUCCCUUUUAAAAUUAAUUUAUUUAUAAUUAAUAAUUUACAGUAAAUAUUUUGAAAUUAUUUUGUAUCAAUAAUUAUCUAAUUUUUACAAAAAUUAGUUAAAUAUUAGUAUUGAAAUUCAAACCUAGUAUUAGUACUACGUAAUUACAAAUAUACUCAUUAUACUAUUGAAAUGAUUUUAAAAUACAUUAUAGACGUUUUAAAUUAAUUUAACAAAUUAUUUCUCAAAUUUUGAUUAAUUAGAUUACUAUGUUGAUAGUUUAAAACUAGUGUUAUAAUUUAGAAAUAAAAUAAAAUAUUUUACAACUAAUUAAUUAUAAUAAUUAGAAGUAAAUUUGAUAUUUAUAACUUUUAUUAUAUUUUAUUGAAAAUAAUUAAGUUUAAUUAAAUUAAUUUUAAAGGGGUUAGAAAACUAAAAGGCUUCAAUUGUAGUUCUUCAAUUAAACACAAAGUGGCUAUUCUUUAAAUCAACAACAUCCCAAUACCCAGACCUAAUGCCAUCUGACCCUGUCCAAACCUGCCCCUCUCUUUCCACUAUGGCAAUCCAUGACAAUCCCUGUGAGCUAAUAGCAGUGCGCCACGUCAUCCAUCUCACUCACUCACAAAAGAAUUACACUCAAUCCUACCCAUCGACCCAUACCAUCAAAGGACUGGAUUUUUUUUUCUCGCUUUUUCCCUUAUUUUUAAAACCCCUAUCAAAUUUUAUUUCAGCCGUUUGAUUACAAGAAUCCAAUGACCACCAUUUUUUCUCAUUAAAUCCUUUUAUUAAUUAUAAAUCUUCAAAUAAUCGGAGCCAUAGAUCAAAAGAUCUAACAUAUCCCCUUCCAUCUCUCACUCUUAACCCUAGGAGACCCACCCCAAAGCCACUAACUAUAAUUCAUUUACCACCUUCCCUGCCGCCUCUCUCUCUCUCUCUUUCCUCUCCCUUUUCUCUCAGACCCAUCACACAAAUCAAUCAAGAGAACCUUGCACAAAUUUGUGCAAGGUCUUAGAUCACCUAGAAUUAAACAUGAAACAUCAAAUCCUCAGAUUUCUCUCGUGUUAUAUAAAAUCAAAGCAUAUGUCGCGCCUCCUUUUUUUCCCUCCGUGGAGAGAGGUCCGGGUUCCGACAUUCAUGGGGGUAAUAACUCAUUUCCUUUUGGGAAUUGGGUAUUUGAAGAGUCGCCACCUAACGGAUUAUGGUGCGUUAGGGCACCUAGAGCAAUUAACUCUUAGACUAGUUUGCAUUACCAAAGAUUAGGGUAAGGGCUCGAAAUGACCUCGAGGGGAAGGUGUUAGGCACCUCUCUCAAUCCACAACUGUGGGUCCCGACCAAACUUAUACUCAUGAAUUAGUCCAUUAAAUAGUUGAAUCAAACAAUUUACAAGUAAAGCACGUUGGAUGUUGUAUAACUCAAAUAGUAAGACAAAGGUUUUGAACAAGUUGUAUACAUAAAGGAAAAUUUAAAACACAAGGAAUUUGGGAAAGGAGGGGUCCUAGGUUGGUUAGCCUACAGGAUCACC